ensembl:snoRNA
CGACGUCUGUUCCUCUUCCUGUUUGAAGUCCAACAGGAGGAUUUUAUGAUGUCGUAGAGAAACCUGGGUCUUUUUCACCUGGAAAGCUUCAGGCUGCAGCCAAAACCAAAACCGCUUUCUGGUUUUGCGGGACCCAACAAAC